rnacentral:tRNA from 1 species
GCGCUGCGGACUUAAAAUCCGUUGGCUUUAUUGACCGUGAGGGUUCAAGUCCCUCUACCCCCA